GGGCGAAUGGUUUAGUGGUAUAAUACUCCCUUAGCAUGAUGAAACUGCAGAAAUUCGACAUCUGACAUACAGUGCGACAAUUGGGAGUGGUCCAGGGUUCGAUUCCCUGUUCGUCCA